UAGCAAUAGAAAACUAAGGCAGGUGCCCAG
rnacentral:piRNA from 1 species